UAAUUCCUGUUGUUGAAGACAUGCAGUCUAGGGUACUUUGUUCCAGCAGCCCGAGCUAAGACCUAAUAUUAGCCAAAGUCCCUAAAAAUCUAUUUACAAGUAACAGGACAGACCAAUUUGUGGAUUAAGAUUCUAAUUCUACAGCAACUCUCAAAGAAGAAAAUGUAGAAAUCUACAUUCAAAACUUAAUAUCUAUUGAGUUACCUUAUUCAGUAAUUUAUUUAGAUAUACUGCAAUGUCACAGAGCAAGGUCAGGACACCUGCAUUGUACCUUUGUAUUUUCUCCCAGUUGCUAUGCAACCUGGGGAAAGCCUCUUCACAGUUACUGAUCAGUUUACUUUCUUUCCAAAAUGAUUGGUCUGAAACAUUCCUAUGGCCCUUUCUGGUCUCAAAGUUCUACAACUCUUAGUGCACUUUAUGUAACAGAAGGCAACUUCCACUCACCAUUUUGUUCUCGCUGUACUCCUGCGGCCAGAAGAUCGGGCUCACCAAGGCUGAUGUCGUUCAGCCGGGUCCCCAGACACUCCAUGCAGAGGUGCUUGCACCACUCCUCGGCCUCCAGCUCUGGAAACGAACACACACCAUCCAAGUUAGGCAGUGCUGUGCAGAUAUGCCAGAGGAAGAUCACUUCCUGAACCUUCUUUCAAGCACUCAACUUUCGCUUACAUCAUGCUGUGGUAAGAAACAGCCUGCCAUCUCAGAAGAUUUCUGGAACAGAAACAUUUACUUCUUGGUCCUGCCCCUGUAUGCAGAGGUUCUCAGACUUUACUGUGCUUUAGAAUCACCUGGAGAGCUUGUUAAAGUGGAUUCCUGAAGUUCCAUCCUGAGUUUCUGAUUUAGCAGGUCUGUGGUGGGACCUGAGAAUUUGCAUUUCUUAUAGGUUCCCAGAUACCCGGGUGCUGCUGGUCCAGAGA